rnacentral:rRNA from 1 species
AGUGAACGCUGGCGGUAGGCCUAACACAUGCAAGUCGGACGGCAGCACAGUAAGAGCUUGCUCUUACGGGUGGCGAGUGGCGGACGGGUGAGGAAUACAUCGGAAUCUACUUUUUCGUGGGGGAUAACGUAGGGAAACUUAUGCUAAUACCGCAUACGACCUACGGGUGAAAGCAGGGGAUCUUCGGACCUUGCGCGAUUGAAUGAGCCGAUGUCGGAUUAGCUAGUUGGCGGGGUAAAGGCCCACCAAGGCGACGAUCCGUAGCUGGUCUGAGAGGAUGAUCAGCCACACUGGAACUGAGACACGGUCCAGACUCCUACGGGAGGCAGCAGUGGGGAAUAUUGGACAAUGGGCGCAAGCCUGAUCCAGCCAUACCGCGUGGGUGAAGAAGGCCUUCGGGUUGUAAAGCCCUUUUGUUGGGAAAGAAAAGCAGCAGGUUAAUACCCCGCUGUUCUGACGGUACCCAAAGAAUAAGCACCGGCUAACUUCGUG